GCGGGUGUGGUUUAGUGGCAGGACGCGUCCUUGCCAAGGACGAGGCAGGAGUUCGAUUCUCCUCACCCGCA
rnacentral:tRNA from 1 species